UAUCGCCAGAAUACAUUAGCAUGGAAUAAUACUAUAGGAUUUUGGUCCUAUUUUGUUGGUUUCUAGGAUUGAAAUAAUGAUUAAUAGGGACAAUUGGGGGCAUUCGUAUCAACACGUCAGAGGUGGAAUUCUUGGAUUGUGUUGCGACGAACUACUGCGAAAGCAUUUGCCAAGGAUGUUUUCAUUGAUCAAGAACGAAAGUAAGGGGAUCGAAGAUGAUUAGAUACCGUCGUAGUCUUUACCACAAACUAUGCCAACUAGAGAUGGGACAUCGUCUUCUUACGACUUGUUCCGCACCUUAUGAGAUAUCAAAGUCUUUGGGUUCCGGGGGGAGUAUGGUCGCAAGACUGGAACUUAAAGGAAUUGACGGAAGGGCACCACCAGGAGUGGGGCCUGCGGCUUAAUUUGACUCAACACGGGGAAACUCACCAGGUCCAGACAUAAUAAGGAUUGACAGAUUGAUAGCUCUUUCUUGAUUUUAUGGGUGGUGGUGCAUGGCCGUUCUUAGUUCGUGGAGUGAUUUGUCUGCUUAAUUGCGCUAACGAACGAGACCUUAACCUGCUAAAUAGAAUCGUAUAUCUUCGGAUAAACGACUUUCUUCUUAGAGGGACUUUGUGCGUUUCAGCAUGAGGAAGUUUGAGGCUAAAACAGGUCUGUGGUGCCCUUAGAUGUUCUGGGCUGCACGCGCGCUACACUGAUGCGUUCAACGAGUGUACAACCUUGCCCGAUAGGGUUGGGUAACCUUUUGAACACGCAUCGUGAUGGGGAUAGAUUAUUGCAAUUAUUAAUCUUCAACGAGGAAUUCCUAGUAAUGAUGGUUCAUCAGACCGUCGUGAUUACGUCCCUGCCCUUUGUACACACCGCCCGUCGCUCCUACCGAUUGAGCAAUCCGGUGAAUAUUUCGGACCGACUGGCUCGGGGCAACCUGCUGCUAGUUGGAAGGUCAAGUAAACCUUAUUGCUUAGAGGAAGGAGAAGUCGUAACAAGGUUUCCGUAG
rnacentral:rRNA from 1 species